rnacentral:rRNA from 1 species
CCCAAACCAAUAAAGUUUUCUUUAUUGGGGUUGCGGACAUAUCAUAACGAAGAGGUAUCGUAAUUGAAGAGGUUUGGAAAGACCCACCACAGAAGGUAAUAGUCCUGUAUGUUAAACGAGAAGACUUUAGAUAUGAUCCAGAGUACCACGGGACACGUGAAACCCUGUGGGAAGCAGGAGGGACCACCCUCCAAGGCUAAAUACUACCUAGUGACCGAUAGCGUAUAGUACCGUGAGGGAAAGGUGAAAAGAACCCCGGGAGGGGAGUGAAAUAGAACCUGAAACCCUGCACUUACAAGCUGUGGAAGCACAUUUCUUGUGUGACCGCGUACUUUUUGUAGAACGGGCCAACGAGUUACGUUAAGUAGCAAGGUUAAGCACUUAAGGUGCGGAGCCGUAGCGAAAGCGAGUUUUAACUGAGCGUUCAGUUACUUGACGUAGACCCGAAACCGGGCGACCUACCCAUGAGCAGGAUGAAGCGAAAGUAAAAUUUCGUGGAGGUCCGAACCCACGAGCGUUGAAAAGCUCGGGGAUGACUUGUGGGUAGCGGUGAAAUUCCAAUCGAGCCCGGAGAUAGCUGGUUCUCCCCGAAAUAGCUUUAGGGCUAGCCUCAAGGUGAGAGAUACGGAGGUAGAGCACUGAAUGUCCUAGGGGGUAUUGCACCUACCGAAGACUAUCAAACUCCGAAUGCCGUCAUCUUAUACUUGGGAGUCAGACUGUGGGUGAUAAGAUUCAUAGUCGAAAGGGCAACAGCCCAGAUCGUCAGCUAAGGUCCCUAAAUGUAAGUUAAGUGGUAAAGGAUGUGGGAUUGCACAGACAACCAGGAUGUUGGCUUAGAAGCAGCCACUCAUUCAAAGAGUGCGUAAUAGCUCACUGGUCGAGUGAUCCUGCGCCGAAGAUUUCCGGGGCUAAAACUUACUACCGAAGCUACGGCAUCAGUAAUGAUGGGUAGGGGAGCUUCCCAUACGGGUUGAAGCAUGACCGUAAGGACAUGUGGACAGUAUGGGAGUGAGAAUGUUGGCAUGAGUAGCGAGAUGUGGGUGAGAAUCCCACAGGCCGUAAACCCAAGGUUUCCAGGGGAAGGUUCGUCCGCCCUGGGUUAGUCGGGACCUAAGCUGAGGCCGAAAGGCGUAGGUGAUGGACAACAGGUUGAUAUUCCUGUACUACCGAUAACCGUUUGAGAGAAGGGAUGACACAGUAGGAUAAGCUAAGCACACUGUUGGUUAUGUGUGCCCAAGCAUUGAGGCAGUCAAAGUAGGCAAAUCCGCUUUGAUAAUGCUGGGAUGUGAUGGGGAGCGAAAUUUAGUAGCGAAGUAGCUGAUUUCACACUGUCAAGAAAAGUCUCUAUCGAGGUUAAAGGUACCCGUACCGCAAACCGACACAGGUGGGUGAGGAGAGUAUCCUAAGGCCAGCGAGAGAACUGUUGUUAAGGAACUCGGCAAAAUGACCCCGUAACUUAGGGAUAAGGGGUGCCACCAUCAGGUGGCCGCAGAGAAUAGGCCCAAGCGACUGUUUACCAAAAACAUAGGUUUCUGCUAAGUCGCAAGACGAUGUAUAGGAGCUGACGCCUGCCCGGUGCUGGAAGGUUAAGGGGAUCUGUUAGAGCAAUCGAAGCAGUGAACUUAAGCCCCAGUAAACGGCGGCCGUAACUAUAACGGUCCUAAGGUAGCGAAAUUCCUUGUCGGGUAAGUUCCGACCCGCACGAAAGGCGUAACGAUUUGGGCACUGUCUCAACAACAGACUCGGUGAAAUUGUAAUUCCGGUGAAGAUGCCGGAUACCUGCGACAGGACGGAAAGACCCCAUGGAGCUUUACUGUAGCUUGACAUUGGGU